AGAAUUCAAAUUUCUAUGUAGUUGUUUGUAUUUCGCUUUUACACCAAUUUUUUCUUUUCUUAACUCCGAAUUACCUAGACUUAAUCUAGCCCACUAUUUGAACUAAACCAGGAGUGACCUUGAACCAUACUUAUGACUACAGAAAAGAAAAAGGAAAAAGAAAAGGAUGUCUGUAUUUUGAAUGCUGCUCUGGUCUUUAAGCCCUUCAAAGGCAUGAUAACCUGGUCAAUACAAGCCUUUUUCUAUAACAAGUGAUGUCUUACUGUAGCACCUAAAAAAUCAUGUAUGCAUUAACUAGAAAAAUUUCUCAAGUUAUAUUUGGGCUAAGUUAUACUUGAAAUACCAAAAUAACUAAGAACUAAUAUAAACACCUUCAUGUGAAGCCUCUAGAGUUAUAUAAAAUUAGAGUAACGAGUACUUAAAACCAUAGUUGUCGAAUCUCGAGCAGUUGCAAGAGCAUGUAGUGUGCUAGUACGAUGAAGCAAAUAUUUUAAGAACAUUGAAGGAAACAAGUGCUUAGGAAUUGGGUGGGGAUUUAGGCUUCUAGAGAGUUUCCAAAGCAAGUAUAAUACCCUAAGAUAGGGCUAGCAUUUGGCUUUUAGGUUUCAACUCACUCUCCUUUCAUUCCAUGGUGAUCCUCCUUGUUAGUUGCUCAUUUGUCUUAUAUCUACAUAUGAUCUGAUGGGGGAGAAGGAAGAAUUACCUCAAUCCGCUUAACACGAAUCUCUCAAUUUUUUUUUGGAAAAGAUGAAAAAAAUGGUGAAAUUAGGGUUUAGGUCUCCUUUUCAUUCAUUGGUUAUUGAUUAAAAAAUUGAAGUGCAUAACCUUUAUUUAUAAUAGUAAGGUUCACCCUUGCACCAUUCGGGUCGAAUUUCUCUCCUAGUGUGAACGGGACUAGUUUGCUAAAAAUAAACAUGAUUAGUAUAAAUAAACACGAAAAAAAAAGCUAAAAUCCUACAAGGGGUAGAUCUCGACUCCUACAUUAACUGUCUUUUGUCGCUCUAACUAAUACUCUCUGGAUUAGGAGAUAGGCCCCGAUUAAAAUCUUUCCGAAAAGAAAAUUUUCCGUUUGAUCGGCCCGUUUCAAGGACCAAAUGAUGGAAUUUUGGCCCAUUUCAAACACCAAAGGGGUUGACGCUACAUCGAGGAUCUUGGAAGGCUUCCCAAUUUUGGAAAAAAUAAAAAAUCUUAAUCGGGUAUCAUAUGACCAAAUUAUGAGCUUCGAAAAUUUGGUGCACGAUUCAGCUUCCUAAUGUGGAAAAUCUCACUUUUGGAUCCUGUCUUGCCUUACUUGCAGUAGUCAAAGUGGUUCAUAUCAAAUCCGAUGAUCCUCCUAGAUCUCUAUAAGUUUUCUUAUUGGUUUUAGAAAAUAUGAUGGGGACAUCUAAUACAUAGUCUCUCGCAACUAGCUGUCCAAAUAAGCCCAAUGGACCACCAUCACCACCACCCUAAAGAAAAGAAUCCAACUCUCUCUAAAAGGACUGGCAUAUGGCAGUAGCAAAUUUCUAGGUUGCUUGAGGGAAUAUAAAUAUUUGUCAUUAGAUUUUUUCCCAUUAUUCUACCUAUGAUAAGAUUUGACUGAAGAUAAGUACCUUGAACUUAUCGGAUGUGGUCAUCCUUUUAUUUUAGGAAAAAAACUUGGGAAACCAGUAUGUUCCUUUGAAAGUGGAAGUCAGCCUCACUAAAACUGUUUAUGCAUAAAUGGCAUUUCAGCUUGCUAUAAAUCAAGUACAAAUGCCAGAUGAAAGCAUAUUAUAUGGCCUAGGAACUUUAGUCAGUAAUAGUCUAGGAAGAUACUAUUUUUUUUAUUUUACCAUGGUUCGACAAAAAACUAUUUUAUAACCCAGAAGCUUCUUCAUUGUCAUCCCUAUAACAAAGCCUCCAAAUGAAAGGAAAUGGGAUAUACUAUGCUCUUGGAAGUGGAAAAGCAAGCUAUUGGACUGGCCGGCUUCCUGUAAUAAAAGUGAAGGUACUUAUUGUAGCUUGUUUCCCUCUAGACCUUUGUUACCUUAACAGAGAGCAUGGAGGUUGAGUUGUCAGCUUUUAGGAAGCGGUUGCGGAAGCAAUAUUCCAAAGAGAUUCUAAAAUGGGGCUGGCACCAUAAGAACUUUUCGGAUACAAAGUUAUAGAUCUAUCUUUGUUUCUCAAAGAUUACUCGAGUCAUAUUUUUUAUGUAUUGUUUUGAUUACAUCAUAUACUAAACUAACUAGUAGGGUAUAUGACAAAUUAUGACUCUUCAAAAGAUCAAGCUGAUUAAAAAAAGAUACUUAAUGUUCCAUAACCUAUAUUGUCAAUGAUAAGAUGAAAAUGUUACCAUAAGAUAUUUUCAACUAUAUUAAUUUGUUUCCAAGUGUAAUAUCCAUAAUAAUUUUAAAAAACAUUUAAAUUUUGGUUAAAUGAUUUUAGUUAAUAAUUUAUAUUUGUUUGAGAGAUUUAAGUCUCUUCACCUGACAUCCAAAAACUCUAUAGAUUGUCCUUGUUGAACCCACAGUAACCCAAAUCUGAUAAAAUGAUGUUAAGUCAUGCAUUGGGGUGAUAGACAAUCAAAAUAAAAAAUCAUAAAGAAUAAAAGAGAAAAAAAAAACUACUGUCUUAUUCAAAAUCAUCAUGCACUGUGAAUCUUAAUUUAUGCUCUUAUAUAGAGCGUAACGACCUAUAAUCCAUAUUAUUGAGUAAAUUAUGUAAGGUUGACAAUUGAAAAUGCAUAAAAAGAUCCGCAGAUAAUUCUGUGAAACCCCAAUGUUUUCUUCACCUUUGAUCAUUAUAAAUCAUAUAAUGUUGACCAUUAAAUAUGUGUUAACGAGCUUGUUCAAAAUUUUAGCAUUGACAGGCAUCUGUAGAACCAAUGUUUCUCAUGCUGACUCGUUGGGGUGAUUCCAGAAUCAGCCUUUCAUCAAGGAAAUUUCUGUGUUCAGUUUUACAUAUUGUUUGUUUCGUGUUCUAGUAGUUGCUGUAUGUUGAAUUAGAUGUAUAGCAAAUUAUGUGAAUCUAACGUAUGCAAGAGAGGAGAAAUAUGAUGAAUGAUACUACCCUUAUAAAGUUAGAAAUGAGACAAGUUCAGAAAUUUACAA